CGGGAGUGCAUUGUAGUUGCAUUGCACUUCAAUGAAUUUUGUGCAAUAUUACUACAAGGCAAAUCCCG
rnacentral:pre_miRNA from 1 species